rnacentral:misc_RNA from 1 species
AAGUCGUAACAAGGUUUCCGUAGGUGAACCUGCGGAAGGAUCAUUAACACGAAUUUUAUCCAAUAUAAAAACCAAACGUGAACUUUUCCCCUCCCUAGACUAAUUCUUCUGAAGAAUUGUUUAGGCUAACCUUUUUUAACUCUAUAUAUAAUAGAAUAUUUAUUGUUCUAUUGUAUAUAUUGUUUCUCAACUCCUAAAACUUAACUCUAGUUUGUAGACGAGGGUGAAUUAACCUUCUAAACAACUACUAACACUAAAAAAAUGUCCUUCUUACUCUUAAUUGAGUAGAUGGCUUUUUUUCGAUAUUACGAAAAAUUAAGAACAACUCUUAACAAUGGAUAUCUUGGUUCUC